UACGUAGGGCGCGAGCGUUGUCCGGAUUUAUUGGGCGUAAAGAGCUCGUAGGCGGUCUGUCGCGUCUGCUGUGAAAAACUCGGGGCUUAACCCCGGGCCUGCAGUGGGUACGGGCAGACUAGAGUGCGGUAGGGGAGACUGGAAUUCCUGGUGUAGCGGUGAAAUGCGCAGAUAUCAGGAGGAACACCGGUGGCGAAGGCGGGUCUCUGGGCCGUAACUGACGCUGAGGAGCGAAAGCGUGGGGAGCGAACAGG
rnacentral:rRNA from 1 species